UACGUAGGGAGCAAGCGUUGUUCGGAUUUACUGGGCGUAAAGGGCGCGUAGGCGGCACGGUAAGUCACUUGUGAAAUCUCUGAGCUUAACUCAGAACGGCCAAGUGAUACUGCAGUGCUAGAGUGCAGAAGGGGCAAUCGGAAUUCUUGGUGUAGCGGUGAAAUGCGUAGAUAUCAAGAGGAACACCUGAGGUGAAGACGGGUUGCUGGGCUGACACUGACGCUGAGGCGCGAAAGCCAGGGGAGCAAACGGG
rnacentral:rRNA from 1 species